CAUUCAUUUAGUAUUUACAUAUGUAUGCGUGCGACGGACCAAGGAGAGCAAGAGCAAGAGAGAGCGAAGUCGCAUCGCUGUUUUGUCAAAGAGCGAGCAGGCACAUCCAUUCACCCGAAAGUAAAAACAAAUUACGAAUGAAUAUUUGAUUUAUUUAUUAUUGCCAUAAAAAUAUGAUGAAUAUAUCGGUCAACAACAUGACGUCCAUAAAAUUUUGUUUGUUGUGGUCUAGCUUCCAGUUUUUGGGUGCUUGGCGUGAAAAUUGCUAAAGUGUCAGCACUGUUCGACGUUCGAUUUUGUUGUUGGCUUGAGCUGCUGUCACAAUUGAGAAACAACAACAAUCACGAUGGACGAUGUGCGGCGGACGCACAGUGGUAUCCAAUCAAUCAGUUUGAACAAUUUAGUGAAAUACAUUUGGAAAAUUCUUAUAAUACUUUAUUAACAGUAUUGCUACCUCUUGCAUGGCUUAAUAUACAUAACUUAUAACUAUAUAAUGUGGUAUCAGUUAAGCACUCUUGCGCGUAAUUCUAGAUGUUUGUAAAGAAUUGCUUUGUCUAUUAAGCUUGAAGAGCAGAUAAAGAUAGAUAUAUGUAUAUUGAACGCCUAAUGUGUGCAAGCAAUUUUUGUUAAGUCUUAAUGUUGUAUACAUUUAGGUUCAAGAUGAGUAACUAUAUAUAUAUAUAUGUAUAUGAUGUAUGUAUUUUAAGUGUGUCACGAGGUCUAUUAUUACAGAUUUAUUUCGAACACAUUCAUUCAACAAUUUUGAUUGCGCAUUUAUAAAAUAAUCGUUGCAAUAUACGACUCAAAUAUAAAGUUCAAUCAAAACGACUGAGAGAGAGAACAACUACUAUUUACGAUAGAGAAGAUCGAUUGAUCGUCGGCAAACUAUUCCAUCUGAGAUUUCCUAUGAAUUAUUGGCACUAUCCAACUAUCAGAAUUGCAAUUGUGUAUUUUCUAUUUACGAUUGCAUUUAGGCAUACUUGUGAUAUAUUGGUGUUUUGUUGGUUUGUUGUUUCUUUUUGAUUUAACAUGUAUUUUAGUUGCUUUUGUAUGUGUUUUUUCUUUAAUGAGAUUGAUUUUAAAUAAUGUUAAAUGAAUUUUUAUCACGUGCAAUUAUGACAAUUAACAAACAUAAAUCGUACAAAAAAUGUGU